rnacentral:lncRNA from 1 species
GCUAUGAGGCAACCUUAGGAUCAGCACGGAGCGAUCCCCUACCAAAUCUCUCUCUUUCUCCUAUACACUCUAUUGUAUCGCCUAGAUUUUGGGUGUUCUUGAGUAUAAGGGAUCAUCAGCUAGAUGUAGCCAUGUAGGGCAUAGAUUAUCCCGAACCAGGAUAAACCACUAUGGCUCCUCUGUGAUUAUUGUGUUCUCAAGUCCACUCG